rnacentral:lncRNA from 1 species
UGUAAUGUAUGGACUGAUUUUACGUACGUGGACGUAAAAUAAAUAUAUAGAAAUUUAGAUAAUAGAAUAGCUAGUAAAAGACCCAUUUAGUGUACAUAACAAUAAAUAAUUUUACAAAUUAAAGUAUGCCCAGACUCCGUGGAGAACAUUACGUUAUAGUACUUAUUUUACUGCAGAAUAUGCGUGAUUUGUAGCUAAGUUUGUACAUGGACAGAAUUUAUUGAGCGCACGUAGAAAAUAGCUGCCCCAAAUUUGCACGAAACCAUGGCUAG